GACGAUCGCUGGCGGCGUGCUUAACACAUGCAAGUCGAACGGAGAUUCAGCAAUGGAUCUUAGUGGCGAACGGGUGAGUAACGCGUAGGCAAUCUGCCUUCUAGAUGGGGACAACAUCCCGAAAGGGGUGCUAAUACCGAAUGUUGUAUGAUCUUCGCAUGGAGAUGAUACUAAAGGUGGCCUCUGAAUAUGCUACCGCUAGAAGAUGAGCCUGCGUCUGAUUAGCUAGUUGGAGGGGUAACGGCCCACCAAGGCUUCGAUCAGUAGCCGGUCUGAGAGGAUGAACGGCCACACUGGGACUGAGACACGGCCCAGACUCCUACGGGAGGCAGCAGUGGGGAAUCUUCCGCAAUGGACGAAAGUCUGACGGAGCAACGCCGCGUGAGUGAAGAAGGUUUUCGGAUCGUAAAGCUCUUUCGUUAGGGACGAACGUGCUCUUUGUGAAUAAUGAGGAGUAAUGACGGUACCUAAUAAGAAGCCACGGCUAACUACGUGCCAGCAGCCGCCGUAA
rnacentral:rRNA from 1 species